rnacentral:rRNA from 1 species
AGCGUGGGGAGCAAACAGGAUUAGAUACCCUGGUAGUCCACGCCCUAAACGAUGUACACUAGUUGUUGUGAGGCUCGACCUUGCAGUAAUGCAGUUAACACAUUAAGUGUGCCGCCUGGGGAGUACGGUCGCAAGAUUAAAACUCAAAGGAAUAGACGGGGACCCGCACAAGCGGUGGAGCAUGUGGUUUAAUUCGACGAUACACGAAGAACCUUACCUGGACUUGACAUAGUAAGAACUUUCUAGAGAUAGAUUGGUGUCUGCUUGCAGAAACUUAUAUACAGGUGCUGCACGGCUGUCGUCAGCUCGUGUCGUGAGAUGUUGGGUUAAGUCCCGCAACGAGCGCAACCCUCGUCAUUAGUUGCUAACAGUUCGGCUGAGAACUCUAAUGAGACUGCCUACGCAAGUAGGAGGAAGGUGAGGACGACGUCAAGUCAUCAUGGCCCUUACGUCCAGGGCUACACACGUGCUACAAUGGGGUAUACAAAGAGCAGCAAUACGGUGACGUGGAGCAAAUCUCAAAAAUAUCUCCCAGUUCGGAUUGUAGUCUGCAACUCGACUACAUGAAGUUGGAAUCGCUAGUAAUCGUAGAUCAGCUAUGCUACGGUGAAUACGUUCCCGGGUCUUGUACUCACCGCCCGUCACACCAUGGGAGUUGAACUCAUUCGAAGCGGGGAUGCUAAAAUAGCUACCUUCCACAGUGGAUUCAGCGACUGGGGUGAAGUCGUAACAAGGUAACCGUAGGAGAACCUGCGGUUG